rnacentral:rRNA from 1 species
GAUGAACGCUGGCGGCGUGCCUAAUACAUGCAAGUCGAGCGAACAGACGAUGAGCUUGCUCCUCUGACGUUAGCGGCGGACGGGUGAGUAACACGUGGAUAACCUACCUCUAAUACUGGGAUAACUUCGGGAAACCGGUGCUAAUACUGGAUAAUAUAUUGUACCGCAUGGUUCAAUAGUGAAUGACGGCUUUGCUGUCACUUAUAGAUGGUUCCGCGCCGCAUUAGCUAGUUGGUAAGGUAACGGCUUACCAAGGCAACGAUGCGUAGCCGACCUGAGAGGGUGAUCGGCCACACUGGAACUGAGACACGGUCCAGACUCCUACGGGAGGCAGCAGUAGGGAAUCUUCCGCAAUGGGCGAAAGCUUGACGGAGCAACGCCGCGUGAGUGAUGAAGGUCUUCGGAUCGUAAAACUCUGUUAUUAGGGAAGAACAAAUGUGUAAGUAACUAUGCACGUCUUGACGGUACCUAAUCAGAAAGCCACGGCUAACUUCGUG